UACGUAGGUGGCGAGCGUUGUCCGGAUUUACUGGGUGUAAAGGGCGCGUAGGCGGGCUUUCAAGUCAGAUGCGAAAUACCGGGGCUUAACUCCGGGGCUGCAUUUGAAACUGUUAGUCUUGAGUAUCGGAGAGGAAAGCGGAAUUCCUAGUGUAGCGGUGAAAUGCGUAGAUAUUAAGAGGAACACCAGUGGCGAAGGCGGCUUCCUGGACGACAACAGACGCUGAGACGCGAAAGUGUGGGGAGCAAAC
rnacentral:rRNA from 1 species